rnacentral:rRNA from 1 species
GAACGCGAAGAACCUUACCAGGUCUUGACAUCCAAAGAACCUUUACGAAAGUAGGGGGUGCCUUCGGGAGCUUUGAGACAGGUGGUGCAUGGUUGUCGUCAGCUCGUGUCGUGAGAUGUUGGGUUAAGUCCCGCAACGAGCGCAACCCUUGCUAUUAGUUGCUAACAUUUCGGAUGAGCACUCUAAUGGGACUGCCCGUGACAAGCGGGAGGAAGGUGGGGACGACGUCAAAUCAUCAUGCCCUUUAUGAUCUGGGCUACACACGUGCUACAAUGGAUGGUACAGAGAGCAGCGAGGCCGCGAGGUGGAGUGAAUCUCAAAAAAGCCAUUCUCAGUUCGGAUUGCAGUCUGCAACUCGACUGCAUGAAGUCGGAAUCGCUAGUAAUCGCGGAUCAGCACGUCGCGGUGAAUGCGUUCCCGGGUCUUGUACACACCG